rnacentral:rRNA from 1 species
UACGUAGGGGGCUAGCGUUGUCCGGAAUCAUUGGGCGUAAAGCGCGUGUAGGCAGUUCGGUAAGUCCGCUGUGAAAGUCGGGGGCUCAACCCUCGAAUGCCGGUGGAUACUGUCGGACUAGAGUACGGAAGAGGCGAGUGGAAUUCCUGGUGUAGCGGUGAAAUGCGCAGAUAUCAGGAGGAACACCAAUUGCGAAGGCAGCUCGCUGGGACGUUACUGACGCUGAGACGCGAAAGCGUGGGGAGCAAACAGG